UACGUAGGGUGCGAGCGUUAAUCGGAAUUACUGGGCGUAAAGCGUGCGCAGGCGGUAAUGUAAGACAGGUGUGAAAUCCCCGGGCUUAACCUGGGAACUGCAUUUGUGACUGCAUUGCUGGAGUGCGGCAGGGGGGGAUGGAAUUCCGCGUGUAGCAGUGAAAUGCGUAGAUAUGCGGAGGAACACCGAUGGCGAAGGCAAUCCCCUGGGCCUGCACUGACGCUCAUGCACGAAAGCGUGGGGAGCAAACAGG
rnacentral:rRNA from 1 species